UACGGAGGGAGCAAGCGUUGUUCGGAUUUACUGGGCGUAAAGGGCGCGUAGGCGGUCAGCACAAGUCAGUUGUGAAAUCUCCGGGCUUAACUCGGAAAGGUCAACUGAUACUGUGCGACUAGAGUGCGGAAGGGGCAACUGGAAUUCUCGGUGUAGCGGUGAAAUGCGUAGAUAUCGAGAGGAACACCUGCGGCGAAGGCGGGUUGCUGGGCCGACACUGACGCUGAUGCGCGAAAGCCAGGGGAGCGAACAGG
rnacentral:rRNA from 1 species